rnacentral:tRNA from 1 species
AGCAGUGUGGCUCAGCGGAAAGAGCACGGGCUUUGGAGGCGGAGGUCAUGGGUUCGAAUCCCGGCUCUGCCA